CUCACACAUUAUUUAUUGGCCACAAAUUAUCUAUUUCAUUGAUCGUACAUUAACCAAUUUAUUAGUCAAAAUUAAGCAAAUAAUUUGUGGCUGCCACCACCAUUUGUGACUUCCAAUUCGCCACUGCCUCUAGCGGUACCUUUGCCAACACCACCGUUGCCAAAUUCACUACCACCACUUCACAACAAUUGGCAGCACCACCACCACCACGUGCUCCAUCUCAAACAAACUAGCAUCCACCACCAAAAACCACCACAAUUUGCACCACCACCGCGACGAUAGUGACAUUGACAUUAUAUACACCAACACCAACACCAACAAAACCGUUUUAUGACCACCAACUCACCAUCUCAAAACCCCAACAACACCAAAACAUGAAAACCACCAUUGUCACCACCACUCCAACAACAACAAAAACCAAGAUCUCACAGCCAAGAGGAAAUUAUCAGUGGUCAGAAUGCUAUCAAUAUGAAUUACAGUCUAUUGACUGUGGCUGACUGGGCGGUUUCAAAGAUCAAGUCCAAUGGCUUCUUCGAGAUUUGUGAUCCAUGGAUCGGGGCCACUCAUAUACGCUGAAUCUCUAUGGCUAAUAGCGGUGGUGGCGUCCCCAAUGUAUGAGAUCUACUACGAAAAAAAGGCCAUGAAUGGCGAAGGGCGACGUCGUGAGCGCCACGCGUUCACAACACCGCUGGCUGAUUCGGAAUAAAGGGGCGGUCCAAUAGCUUUGUAGCGACGUUCGCUACUUCAGAGCGAUGUCGCUGUGAUGGUGGAAUAUUGAGGGCCACGGCGUGGUGCCAACAUCAUGAGCACCAUGGUACCGAUGUCAUGAGUGAUAUGGUGACGACGGUAUCUCCAACGGUGAUGAGAGAGAGACAGUUAUUAGGGUUUGUGAG
rnacentral:lncRNA from 1 species